rnacentral:rRNA from 1 species
CCUACGGGAGGCAGCAGUGGGGAAUAUUGCUCAAUGGGCGAAAGCCUGACGCAGCGACGCCGCGUGAGGGAUGAAGGUCUUCGGAUCGUAAACCUCUGUCAGCCGGGGAGCACGGUCACUGUGCUAAUCAGCAGUGAAUUGACGGUACCUGAGUAAGAAGCCCCGGCUAACUACGUCCCAGCAGCCGCGGGAAUCAGUAGGGGGCAAGCGUUGUCCGGAUUUAAUGGGGGUAAAGGGAGCGUAGACGGCAGUGCAAGGCUGGAGGGAAAGGCGGGGACGCAAACCCCGGACUGCUCUGGAAACUGGACUGCUGGAGUGCGGGAGAGGUAAGUGGAAUGCCUAGUGUAGCGGUGAAAUGCGUAGAUAUUAGGAGGAACACCAGUGGCGAAGGCGGCUUACUGGAGUGUAACUGACGUUGAGGCUCGAAAGCGUGGGGAGCAAACAGGAUUAGAUACCCGAGUAGUC